UGAGUUUCAGAAAUCUGUAUUUCAGACACCAUGGACUGAAUGCCCUUGGCACAUCUGGAGGAACAACCCUGGUGGAGAGGAGUUAAAGAAGGGAACUCACCCAUGGUUGCCAAGACUGCCUCGUUGGCAUGAGUACACAAGCCUUGCCUAGCAUCUUUGUCAGAGCAGCUGAAUGACAGAAGGAAAAACAGUUACUGCAAGUAGAAUCAACAGUAUCAAAGUAUUCUUCUGUAUCCAGAGAAGAGAGGACCAUAUACACAUUUAUACAGGGGUGCAUGCAUGUAUGUAUCAAUCAUCAGUCUGCAAUAUCCUUAUAUCUAAGUCAUUCUAGAUUCACCUCUCAGGUA